rnacentral:rRNA from 1 species
GAUGAACGCUAGCUACAGGCUUAACACAUGCAAGUCGAGGGGCAGCAUGACCUAGCAAUAGGUUGAUGGCGACCGGCGCACGGGUGAGUAACACGUAUCCAACCUGCCGAUUAUUCCGGGAUAGCCUUUCGAAAGAAAGAUUAAUACUGGAUAGCAUAACGAGAAGGCAUCUUCUUGUUAUUAAAGAAUUUCGAUAAUCGAUGGGGAUGCGUUCCAUUAGUUUGUUGGCGGGGUAACGGCCCACCAAGACAUCGAUGGAUAGGGGUUCUGAGAGGAAGGUCCCCCACAUUGGAACUGAGACACGGUCCAAACUCCUACGGGAGGAAGCAGUGAGGAAUAUUGGUCAAUGGACGAGAGUCUGAACCAGCCAAGUAGCGUGAAGGAUGACUGCCCUAUGGGUUGUAAACUUCUUUUAUAUGGGAAUAAAGUGGGCCACGUGUGGCUUUUUGUAUGUACCAUACGAAUAAGGAUCGGCUAACUCCGUG